rnacentral:rRNA from 1 species
GGGGGUAGAAUUCCAGGUGUAGCGGUGAAAUGCGUAGAGAUCUGGAGGAAUACCGGUGGCGAAGGCGGCCCCCGGGGGUAGAAUUCCAGGUGUAGCGGUGAAAUGCGUAGAGAUCUGGAGGAAUACCGGUGGCGAAGGCGGCCCCCUGGACGAAGACUGACGCUCAGGUGCGAAAGCGUGGGGAGCAAACAGGAUUAGAUACCCUGGUAGUCCACGCUGUAAACGAUGUCGAUUUGGAGGUUGUGCCCUUGAGGCGUGGCUUCCGGAGCUAACGCGUUAAAUCGACCGCCUGGGGAGUACGGCCGCAAGGUUAAAACUCAAAUGAAUUGACGGGGGCCCGCACAAGCGGUGGAGCAUGUGGUUUAAUUCGAUGCAACGCGAAGAACCUUACCUACUCUUGACAUCCAGAGAACUUUCCAGAGAUGGAUUGGUGCCUUCGGGAACUCUGAGACAGGUGCUGCAUGGCUGUCGUCAGCUCGUGUUGUGAAAUGUUGGGUUAAGUCCCGCAACGAGCGCAACCCUUAU